rnacentral:sRNA from 1 species
CGUAGUCGCCGCACGGUCGCCAGCCGUC